GGCAAACUGUUUUGGACUGCGCAGUAAUGGUUGUAAAUGAUUGCUACAUUUUCUUUUGUCUACGAUUGGGAAAUAGACUUACAAAGAGAAAGUCUAUGUAAUUUGUUUGAUUUGGAAAACCUACAGACUGCAAAGGGGUCACUACAAUAAUUCAAAAACUGGCUUCACUGAAGACAUUGGAUUUCUGCUGUCGUUUGACUACAUUCCAGUAGAGCGGCUGUACUCAUCCUUGCCUGUUUCGUACCGGAGCUGUUGGAGCUGGGGGUCAUCAACAGAGUAAAAAUGAACACCUGUAUGCCAGCCGACACCAAGGUACUGGAAGUGGGUGUGGCAGUGUCAUCAGCAACACUGGCAACAACUGGGGCCCUGUAUGCCAGUGCUCCUUCAAAAACCCUCUUGGACCUCAUUUGCUGUGUGCUUUCCUCCCUGAGACACUCUUUGAUUUUUGGUUGGCAUUUGGCUUGUGUUUCUGCACUAUACAAUGUUGCACCUACACACCUCCUCAAUCAUGCACUCACCUAUACUGCUGAUCUUACUGAUUACACAUGCCACUGUUAAUUUAGGUUCUCCUCUUAUGCUAUUCCUCUUUCAAUAAAUUGUUUGUUAAUUGA